rnacentral:rRNA from 1 species
UCUGGUUGAUCCUGCCAGAGGUUACUGCUAUCGGUGUUCGACUAAGCCAUGCGAGUCAAAUGUUCUUCGUGAACAUGGCAGACCGCUCAGUAACACGUGGAUAACCUACCCUAAGGCCAGGUAUAACCCCGGGAAACUGGGGAUAAUCCCUGAUAGAUUAGAGAUGCUGGAAUGCCCUCUAAUCCAAAGGUCCGCCGCCUUAGGAUGGAUCUGCGGCUCAUCAGGUAGUAGUGGGUGUAACGUACCUACUAGCCAACGACGAGUACGGGUUGUGAGAGCAAGAGCCCGGAGAUGGAUUCUGAGACACGAAUCCAGGCCCUACGGGGUGCAGCAGGCGCGAAUCCUUUACAAUGCAGGCAACUGCGAUAAGGGGACACCGAGUGCCAGUGAAUUUCAUUGGCUGUCUUAAUGUCUAAAACGCAUUUAAUAGCAAGGGCUGGGCAAGACCGGUGCCAGCCGCCGCGGUAAUACCGGCAGCCCGAGUGGUAACCACUAUUAUUGGGUCUAAAGGGUCCGUAGCCGGGCCAAUCAGUCUUCUGGGAAAUCUGGCAGCUUAACUGUCAGGCGACUAGGGGAUACUGUUGGCCUUGGGACCGGGAGAGGUAAGAGGUACUUUAGGGGUAGGAGUGAAAUCUUGUAAUCCUUAAGGGACCACCAGUGGCGAAGGCGUCUUACCAGAACGGGUCCGACGGUGAGGGACGAAAGCUAGGGGCGCAAACCGGAUUAGAUACCCGGGUAGUCCUAGCCGUAAACGAUGUUCGCUAUGUGUCAGGGACGGCAUGACCGUUCCUGGUGCCGAAGGGAAGCUGUGAAGCGAACCACCUGGGAAGUACGGCCGCAAGGCUGAAACUUAAAGGAAUUGGCGGGGGAGCACUACAACGGGAGGAGCCUGCGGUUUAAUUGGAUUCAACGCCGGACAACUCACCGGGAGCGACAGCAUUAUGAAAGUCAGGCUGAAGACCUUACUGGAUUCGCUGAGAGGAGGUGCAUGGCCGCCGUCAGUUCGUACUGUGAAGCAUCCUGUUAAGUCAGGCAACGAGCAAGACCCGCGCCUACAAUUGCCAGCAUGUUCUCCGGAACGAUGGGUACUUUGUAGGGACCGCCGCUGCUAAAGCGGAGGAAGGAACGGGCUACGGUAGGUCAGUAUGCCCCGAAUCUCCCGGGCUACACGCGGGCUACAAUGGGUGGGACAAUGGGUUCCUACACCGAAAGGUGACGGUAAUCUCCUAAACCCACCCGUAGUUCGGAUUGAGGGCUGCAACCCGCCCUCAUGAAGCUGGAUUCCGUAGUAAUCGCGUUUCACGAUAGCGCGGUGAAUACGUCCCUGCUCCUUGCACACACCGCCCGUCAAACCACCCGAGUGAGGCCUGGGUGAGGGUGCGGCUUCAGUCGCAUUCGAACCUGUGCUUCGUAAGGGGGGUUAAGUCGUAACAAGGUA